AUGAUUUUAGAUGUUGCCAGCAGCUCCUUUAAUGACUUUAGCUCAUUUGUGUUUGAUGACUUCUGUACCAAUUGCUUCUUUAAUUUACAGUUUGAAAACAAAGGAUGUCAUUUUGACUCUGCUGAGUUGACCCAUAGGAGUAGGCAACAAUAUUGCUGCCAAAGUUUUGGCCUUAGCUUACUUCAACAAGAAUACACUGCAAAAGCUCUGGAGUUCUCAAGCAAUGUGACUGCUUGCCGGCUUACUUAAGGUCAUGAAAAUCCUAGCUUUUGCCAAAAGACUUAGAGCAGAGCCAUCCUGUUCUUGGAGUGGACUGUACUUUUGCUUAGGUCACUGAAUUUUUAGUGGCUAAUAGAAUUGAAAUGGGUCCUUCUUAAGGGUGUUAAAUAUAAACAAGAUGCAAAGGGUGUGAUAAUUAUAAAGCUAUGUUUAUAAUGAUGAUUGUCUGCAUAAAAAUUGCUAAUAAAUUUGUACUCAUGAAUUAUUGAAAAUAAAAAAAUCUUUCCUAUUAGUCUGUCCGAUGAGAAAACUUUAUGUUUUAAAUGCCAUUUCCUUGCAGAUGUCAUUUACUUUUUUGAUGACUAAAGAAGCCUUCACGUUUAUCCUGGGUGAAUUUGUAGUCAUGCUUACAUAGCCAGAAAGGUGUAAUAAGUUGCAUAAUUACCUGGAGAAUUCAGAGCAGUCAGGAGAACCUGCUAAGGCAAUAAAAGCAAAGCCACUUUUAAGUCAUCAUUUGAUUAAAUUACUCUGAACUAAAAUGUCUAGUAACUCUUCCAUUUGCUUUGGUUAAAGGUACAACAAGCUUGUUUUAUCUUGUUAUAUUAAUUACUUUCUCUCCAGUGAACUACAGAAAUUGCAUUUGUAGUUUUGCUUUUAAAAUUUUUUCCUGUGUAAAAACUGAUUAGAUUGAACAAUAAAACAGAUCAUGAUUCGAUUUUCUAUUCA
rnacentral:lncRNA from 1 species